UUCUCUCUGCUACAUUCAAUCCGGUCUCUAGUCUUUGACGAUGUGAGUAUGUUGAUGAUUGUAUAAGACUCAUUUAUACUAUUAAUAGACAUUACUGUGUUUGUGUAAUGUUUAGUGGUGUUUUCAGAACAUUAUUGCUGCUGUGUUGUUGAGAAGCUACCGGCUAACAUUGCAUUGCUGCUGCUAAUGUGGCUAAUUGACACAUGGUAUUGUGAAACUGCAAUAUAUUGACAGCUUGUUUGUGCAUGUAUGUUUUCUGAUCUUUAUAUUACCGUAUUUUUCGAACUAUAAGUCGCAGUUUUUUUCAUAGUUUGACCGGGGAUGCGACUUAUACUCAGGAGCGACUUAUGUGUGAAAUUAUUAACACAUUACCGUAAAAUAUCAAAUAAUAUUAUUUAGCUCAUUCACGUAAGAGACUAGACGUACAAGAUUUCAUGGGAUUUAGCGAUUAGGAGUGACGUAUAGCAUGUUCUAUAUGUUAUAGUUAUUUGAAUGACUCUUACCAUAAUAUGUUACGUUAACAUACCAGGCACGUUCUCAGUUGGUUAUUUAUGCGUCAUAUAACGUACACUUAUUCAGCCUGUUGUUCACUAUUCUUUAUUUAUUUUAAAUUGCCUUUCAAAUGUCUAUUCUUGGUGUUGGGUUUUAGCAAAUAAAUUUCCCCAAAAAAUGCGACUUAUACUCAAGUGCGACUUAUGUUUUUUUCCUUCUUUAUUAUGCAUUUUCGGCCGGUGCGAUUUAUACACCGGAGCGACUUAUACUCCGAAAAAUACGGUAUGUCUCUAGUACUAUACUUUAAACAUAUCUAUAGGCAUAAGACACAGAUCGUUGUUUAAUUAGAUAACAGAACAAUUAAUUAAGUAUUUUACUUGUGUAUUACAGAUACUAACUUAACCCAAAGUACUGCUGUGAAAGGGACAAGUGGUAGAAAAUGGAUGGAUGGAUAGAGUCCAACUGAUGACCGACCGUGUGUUCUCUGACCGGAACCCCAACAUGGUCACAAGUGAGCUGGAGUCUAUCCCAGCUGACUUCUGGGGUGAAUGAGGAUCACAUGUGAGCUGGAGCCUAUCCCACAGGAGUUUGGGCCAAUAGGCAGGGUGCACCCUGGACUUGAUCACUUUAAGAAUCGUACUGUCCAAGCGUAAAUUUGACAGCGCUGGAAGUUGAAAACAAAAGCGGAGGAAGAGUACUUACGAGGACGCAGCGGCAGGCUUCGAGUGAGCGGAAGAGGAGCCGAUCGCCGCUCUGUCGUUGGAGCCGCGCACUGUGCCCUGGGACUGCAGAGCCGACAUCAAGACUCGGGAGUUUUAACGCCUGCACCGUGGGGAGGGGUCAAGGGGCGGCACAAAGUGUGACCACACUGUGAUUCAAAGAACAAUCUGAGUAUCUGGAGUCAAGAUUUGAUGCAAGCACAACAUAAAUAAAAGGUAAACUAUGCACAGUGUCAUUAUAAUCACUUAUAAUCCUAUUAUAGAAAAAUAGCCACAAAAAAGUAUCUUUACAUCACACUGGAGUUGUUUCCACAUGAACACCAAUUAGGAUGACAGUAAACAAAUGGAAAUUAUUAUGUUGUCAUUUUGCAUUAAAAGCCAUAUAACAUAUACUGUACAUAGUGCUUUGAGUAACAUAGAGCUGGUUUUUUUUUUUAAAUAUUCUGAUGACCUAAUUUAGCCAGAUUACAUGAACAUCUUGAACCUUUUUUUCCCCUUUUUUUAAUUUUUUUAUUGAGAAAGAUUAUUUAUGUAUUUAAUAUUCGUAUACUUACUAUGGUAUAUUAUGUAUUUAUUAUUUAUUUGUUCUGUUACAGAGAACAAGGAAAUUGGAUAAAAUUGGUAUGGUAUGAAAAUGGGUAUUAAAUAAACUCUGCUUCUUCCUACUCCUUUUCGGACGUGUUGUAAUGAAACAACUGGAAUUGUGUGAUGCACCACAUCGUAUCGUAUGCAUGUUCCAAAUAAACUGAAACUGAACAGAACUGAACAUUAUGAUCAGAAUGACAUGCAGUUGUAAACAAAUGCAAAUUAGCGUUGCUAUUUUUGUAAUUGUGCACCUGUAUUGUCCU